rnacentral:rRNA from 1 species
GGGUUGUGAGGUUAAGCGACUAAGCGUACACGGUGGAUGCCCUGGCAGUCAGAGGCGAUGAAGGACGUGCUAAUCUGCGAUAAGCGUCGGUAAGGUGAUAUGAACCGUUAUAACCGGCGAUUUCCGAAUGGGGAAACCCAGUGUGUUUCGACACACUAUCAUUAACUGAAUCCAUAGGUUAAUGAGGCGAACCGGGGGAACUGAAACAUCUAAGUACCCCGAGGAAAAGAAAUCAACCGAGAUUCCCCCAGUAGCGGCGAGCGAACGGGGAGGAGCCCAGAGCCUGAAUCAGUGUGUGUGUUAGUGGAAGCGUCUGGAAAGGCGCGCGAUACAGGGUGACAGCCCCGUACACAAAAAUGCACAUACUGUGAGCUCGAUGAGUAGGGCGGGACACGUGGUAUCCUGUCUGAAUAUGGGGGGACCAUCCUCCAAGGCUAAAUACUCCUGACUGACCGAUAGUGAACCAGUACCGUGAGGGAAAGGCGAAAAGAACCCCGGCGAGGGGAGUGAAAAAGAACCUGAAACCGUGUACGUACAAGCAGUGGGAGCCUCUUUAUGGGGUGACUGCGUACCUUUUGUAUAAUGGGUCAGCGACUUAUAUUCUGUAGCAAGGUUAACCGAAUAGGGGAGCCGAAGGGAAACCGAGUCUUAACUGGGCGUUAAGUUGCAGGGUAUAGACCCGAAACCCGGUGAUCUAGCCAUGGGCAGGUUGAAGGUUGGGUAACACUAACUGGAGGACCGAACCGACUAAUGUUGAAAAAUUAGCGGAUGACUUGUGGCUGGGGGUGAAAGGCCAAUCAAACCGGGAGAUAGCUGGUUCUCCCCGAAAGCUAUUUAGGUAGCGCCUCGUGAAUUCAUCUCCGGGGGUAGAGCACUGUUUCGGCAAGGGGGUCAUCCCGACUUACCAACCCGAUGCAAACUGCGAAUACCGGAGAAUGUUAUCACGGGAGACACACGGCGGGUGCUAACGUCCGUCGUGAAGAGGGAAACAACCCAGACCGCCAGCUAAGGUCCCAAAGUCAUGGUUAAGUGGGAAACGAUGUGGGAAGGCCCAGACAGCCAGGAUGUUGGCUUAGAAGCAGCCAUCAUUUAAAGAAAGCGUAAUAGCUCACUGGUCGAGUCGGCCUGCGCGGAAGAUGUAACGGGGCUAAACCAUGCACCGAAGCUGCGGCAGCGACGCUUAUGCGUUGUUGGGUAGGGGAGCGUUCUGUAAGCCUGUGAAGGUGUACUGUGAGGUAUGCUGGAGGUAUCAGAAGUGCGAAUGCUGACAUAAGUAACGAUAAAGCGGGUGAAAAGCCCGCUCGCCGGAAGACCAAGGGUUCCUGUCCAACGUUAAUCGGGGCAGGGUGAGUCGACCCCUAAGGCGAGGCCGAAAGGCGUAGUCGAUGGGAAACAGGUUAAUAUUCCUGUACUUGGUGUUACUGCGAAGGGGGGACGGAGAAGGCUAUGUUGGCCGGGCGACGGUUGUCCCGGUUUAAGCGUGUAGGCUGGUUUUCCAGGCAAAUCCGGAAAAUCAAGGCUGAGGCGUGAUGACGAGGCACUACGGUGCUGAAGCAACAAAUGCCCUGCUUCCAGGAAAAGCCUCUAAGCAUCAGGUAACAUCAAAUCGUACCCCAAACCGACACAGGUGGUCAGGUAGAGAAUACCAAGGCGCUUGAGAGAACUCGGGUGAAGGAACUAGGCAAAAUGGUGCCGUAACUUCGGGAGAAGGCACGCUGAUAUGUAGGUGAAGCGACUUGCUCGUGGAGCUGAAAUCAGUCGAAGAUACCAGCUGGCUGCAACUGUUUAUUAAAAACACAGCACUGUGCAAACACGAAAGUGGACGUAUACGGUGUGACGCCUGCCCGGUGCCGGAAGGUUAAUUGAUGGGGUUAGCGGUAACGCGAAGCUCUUGAUCGAAGCCCCGGUAAACGGCGGCCGUAACUAUAACGGUCCUAAGGUAGCGAAAUUCCUUGUCGGGUAAGUUCCGACCUGCACGAAUGGCGUAAUGAUGGCCAGGCUGUCUCCACCCGAGACUCAGUGAAAUUGAACUCGCUGUGAAGAUGCAGUGUACCCGCGGCAAGACGGAAAGACCCCGUGAACCUUUACUAUAGCUUGACACUGAACAUUGAGCCUUGAUGUGUAGGAUAGGUGGGAGGCUUUGAAGUGUGGACGCCAGUCUGCAUGGAGCCGGCCUUGAAAUACCACCCUUUAAUGUUUGAUGUUCUAACGUUGGCCCCUGAUCGGGGUUGCGGACAGUGUCUGGUGGGUAGUUUGACUGGGGCGGUCUCCUCCUAAAGAGUAACGGAGGAGCACGAAGGUUGGCUAAUCCUGGUCGGACAUCAGGAGGUUAGUGCAAUGGCAUAAGCCAGCUUGACUGCGAGCGUGACGGCGCGAGCAGGUGCGAAAGCAGGUCAUAGUGAUCCGGUGGUUCUGAAUGGAAGGGCCAUCGCUCAACGGAUAAAAGGUACUCCGGGGAUAACAGGCUGAUACCGCCCAAGAGUUCAUAUCGACGGCGGUGUUUGGCACCUCGAUGUCGGCUCAUCACAUCCUGGGGCUGAAGUAGGUCCCAAGGGUAUGGCUGUUCGCCAUUUAAAGUGGUACGCGAGCUGGGUUUAGAACGUCGUGAGACAGUUCGGUCCCUAUCUGCCGUGGGCGCUGGAGAACUGAGGGGGGCUGCUCCUAGUACGAGAGGACCGGAGUGGACGCAUCACUGGUGUUCGGGUUGUCAUGCCAAUGGCACUGCCCGGUAGCUAAAUGCGGAAGAGAUAAGUGCUGAAAGCAUCUAAGCACGAAACUUGCCCCGAGAUGAGUUCUCCCUGAGACUUUAAGUCUCCUGAAGGAACGUUGAAGACGACGACGUUGAUAGGCCGGGUGUGUAAGCGCAGCGAUGCGUUGAGCUAACCGGUACUAAUGAACCGUGAGGCUUAACCUUACAACGCCGAAGGUGUUU